UACAGAGGGUGCAAGCGUUGUUCGGAAUUACUGGGCGUAAAGCGCGUGUAGGCGGCUUAUUAAGUCGGACGUGAAAUCCCUUGGCUCAACCAAGGAACUGCGUCCGAUACUGUUAGGCUUGAGUGUCGGAGGGGGUGGCGGAAUUCCCGGUGUAGAGGUGAAAUUCGUAGAUAUCGGGAGGAACACCUGUGGCGAAGGCGGCCACCUGGAAGACAACUGACGCUGAGACGCGAAAGCGUGGGGAGCAAACAGG
rnacentral:rRNA from 2 species